rnacentral:rRNA from 1 species
UACGGAGGGUGCAAGCGUUAUCCGGAUUCACUGGGUUUAAAGGGUGCGUAGGCGGGCUGGUAAGUCCGUGGUGAAAUCUCCGAGCUUAACUCGGAAACUGCCAUGGAUACUAUUUGUCUUGAAUGUUGUGGAGGUGAGCGGAAUAUGUCAUGUAGCGGUGAAAUGCUUAGAUAUGACAUAGAACACCAAUUGCGAAGGCAGCUCACUACACAAAUAUUGACGCUGAGGCACGAAAGCGUGGGGAGCAAACAGG